CUUAAGUUAUUAAAUUUCAAGUUAAGGUGAGCGAUCGUCAUUCGAUCGUGUAAUGUAGAAUAAUCCGACCGUUGGAUUGGGCCCAAAUUGUCGCAGGGAGAUAUCGGGACUAUUUAAAGUCCAUUGGUGCGAUCGGAUUUGGAAUCCGAGGUUGUGGGCCCAAGGCGGAUUUUUGGAGUGUCGGUUAGACAUGUGGGGCCCACGGGACCCAAAUAGUGACCUUUUGGACAAUGGGUGUCAUUGGUCAUGAUUUGACGUCGACAACACGUACGUCACAGUUUUGUAGUUGGUUGGAUGAGAUUUGAUCACUUUGGAUUCCCGGUUGGUCCAAAGGGCAAUCUCGUCAUUAGAUGCGAAAUCUUGGAUUUUGGAGGUUUGUGCUAAGUUGAGCUUUGUACAUUGCUUAGGUACGGUUGGAGAUUGAGUUGCUCGUUGAGGUUUGAGAUUGAGGAUUCGUUAAGUUGUUGAAGACGCAGCUUGGACGAGAGGGGAAAAUCCUGCAGGUGGUAGAGACGGUGA